AGAAACUGUGACCACAGGAGAUAGUCACCGGAUCCUUCAGGAGAUCCAGACACACUGGACACAUGAACUGGUCCUGAGCUACUGAAAUACUGGCCUCGGCCAUUUUCCUGAAAUCGCAGACUGACAGAGAGAGACAGAGACUGACACAUCGGACAGAGGACAGAGGGCAGUUUUGUCUCAGGUGGUGGAGAAGGAGGAGCACCCUGUGCUGUACAUCAGCUGCAAGCUUUCGAUGUGAGAGAAUAGCCAGUAACGAGAGAGAGAGAAAGAGAGAGAAAG